AUUGAACGCUGGCGGCAUGCUUUACACAUGCAAGUCGAACGGCAGCGCGGGCUUCGGCCUGGCGGCGAGUGGCGAACGGGUGAGUAAUGCAUCGGAACGUGCCCAGUAGUGGGGGAUAGCCCGGCGAAAGCCGGAUUAAUACCGCAUACGACCUGAGGGUGAAAGCGGGGGACCGAAAGGCCUCGCGCUAUUGGAGCCGCCGAUGUCGGAUUAGCUAGUUGGUGGGGUAAAGGCUUACCAAGGCGACGAUCCGUAGCUGGUCUGAGAGGACGACCAGCCACACUGGGACUGAGACACGGCCCAGACUCCUACGGGAGGCAGCAGUGGGGAAUUUUGGACAAUGGGGGCAACCCUGAUCCAGCCAUGCCGCGUGCGGGAAGAAGGCCUUCGGGUUGUAAACCGCUUUUGUUCGGGAAGAAAUCCUCUGGGCUAAUACCCCGGGGGGAUGACGGUACCGGAACAAUAAGCACCGGCUAACUACGUG
rnacentral:rRNA from 1 species